rnacentral:rRNA from 1 species
UCGAACGGCAGCGCGGGGCAACCUGGCGGCGAGUGGCGAACGGGGAGAAUACAUCGGAACGUACCCAGAAGUGGGGGAAACGUAGCGAAAGUUACGCUAAUACCGCAUACGUUCUACGGAAGAAAGUGGGGGAUCUUCGGACCUCAUGCUUUUGGAGCGGCCGAUGUCUGAUUAGCUAGUUGGUGAGGUAAAGGCUCACCAAGGCGACGAUCAGUAGCUGGUCUGAGAGGACGACCAGCCACACUGGGACUGAGACACGGCCCAGACUCCUACGGGAGGCAGCAGUGGGGAAUUUUGGACAAUGGGCGCAAGCCUGAUCCAGCAAUGCCGCGUGAGUGAAGAAGGCCUUCGGGUUGUAAAGCUCUUUUGUCAGGGAAGAAACGGUUGAGGCUAAUAUCCUCGGCUAAUGACGGUACCUGAAGAAUAAGCACCGGCUAACUACGUGCCAGCAGCCCGCGGUAAUACGUAGGGUGCAAGCGUUAAUCGGAAUUACUGGGCGUAAAGCGUGCGCAGGCGGUUUUGUAAGUCUGACGUGAAAUCCCCGGGCUCAACCUGGGAAUUGCGUUGGAACUGCAAGGCUGGAGUCUGCAG